rnacentral:rRNA from 1 species
GACGUAGGGCGCGAGCGUUGUCCGGAUUUAUUGGGCGUAAAGAGCUCGUAGGCGGCUUGUUGCGUCGGCUGUGAAAACCCGCGGCUUAACCGUGGGCUUGCAGCCGAUACGGGCAGGCUAGAGUUCGGUAGGGGAGACUGGAAUUCCUGGUGUAGCGGUGAAAUGCGCAGAUAUCAGGAGGAACACCGGUGGCGAAAGCGGCUCUCUGGAACGGUACUGACGCUGAGACGCGAAAGCGUGGGGAGCGAACAGG